AACGGAGAAAGAAGAAACCUUGUUUGAAUGCACGUCUCUGUUUUCUCAAUGGUGGGAGAGGCGAAAAAUGAGUGGAGCGACUGUGAGAGGUUAGUUCUUUCAGGGUUUCUUAUCCUCUCUCCACACUCCCCUUCCCUUGCCACCCCCCCCCCCCCGGGCGGAUGGAAUGACUAUGAAGCCAAGGAAGGUAAUGGAAUCCUUGAAUCUUAUGCUACAAGCAGCAUGUCAUCUUGCUGGCAGCAGUGGGGCCACAAUAUUGCUGCCAAAGGUGCAGAAUUGACUGCCACAUUUGAGAAACAUUACCUUGCUUUUCGAUAUUAUAUCCUGCAACAAGCCCAAGGGACUUCUUAUAUGAGGAGAGGUGGAUGAUAAGGGCAAGUGCACUUGGGUCUUAAGGCAGUGAUGUUCCAAUUGGUCAUAGCAUAGCACAGCAGGAUCGUGGAACCCAGACAAGAUGAUCAAUGGGUGGGGAAACAAUGCCCCAAGGGGUGAGAAAGAGCCAUCUGAGGAUUUCUUGAAUGAUGAGGAGACUGAAAAUGGAGAAACAGGUAUGCAAAUGAGUUGGUGUGAAGUUGGGGAGUUUGAUUUGAAUACUAGAUGAAUGUGUCAGGUGGUGCCAAUGAUUCAUCCAACCUGCAUCUCUAAUGGCAUGGAUAUCGUAUUAUGCAAGGUCUAUCAGUUUUAACCUCUCUGUUUAGUUUAUGGGUCAUAUGUAUUCUCUAAGGCAUGUAGAAAUUGGAGAAAUGCAUUUGGAAUGGAUUCUCAUCUAACUGUAUGUAGAGGGCGAGGGAGGGGGGAGUGGGGAGCAAAGGAGCUAUUUAGAAAAAAAAAAAAAAGCAUUGUUUAAUGGGUUUGAUAAUACUUGUGGCAUAAAAGUUGAUCAAGGAUUUGUCGAUCUAGCCAUGUCAAGUUGGCCUGUUUUAAAAUGUCAAGCUUCCGGGGUGCAGCCUUGGCUAGAGCCUUUGAUUGGGAUGCCAUAUUUCAACUGCCAAUUCAAUCAACGAAUCAUAAUGAGCCAUAAAAGAGCCAGUGCUCAUGCUCACAUCACAUUGAGUAGUGAUACAACUGGAAGUGGAUGCUCAACAACUGGAAAGAAAAAGAAACAGGAAAUUAUGGUAUCUGAUACAAAGAAUCCUGAAGAACUUUUUAAUAAUUGAUCCAAGUUUACCACAAACCAUUGAUUGAUUUCCUAGCUUGGGUUCUUGAGAAAAGUUCAGUAAAGGUUAUUAGGUGAUGGAUAAAGUAAAGCUAACAUGCAAAGUGGCUUUUGUCUUCUCUGUUUGCUUCAAAAACUUCUUCUUGAUGAUAUAAAUGCAUUAGCCCGACAAGAAGACUACUAGGUCAAAAGCUUCUUGUCGGCAUGGAUGCUAUUCCAUCUAUUGUUAAAUUUGUCCGACAACUAAACCAGUAGGUUUAGCUAGCUAGCUAGAGGGUCUGCGUGAAAUGGAUAUUCCUUUCAACAAUGCAAGAAUUAGUUUUCAACUUCCCUGAUGAAUAUUUAUGUAUAAUUUACAUUUCCCCUGUGCAACACAUUUAAUUUAAUUUCACUUGUACCUAA